CCUCACGUCUUGCUUUUUCUCUUUCUUAUCUAAUUCAAGGUAGUCUCAGAUGAAGUGGUCCAAAGAUCUGCAUUUGAAGCAACCUCUUUCAUUCACUCGGCACGUUUACCACAUUGUGAACACUUCCGUCUAUUUGGCCGAGCACUACCAACACUCGAGAUAGAAGUAGUUUGGGCUUUAGACGCCAUAUGUUGCUUAUUCUUGCUCUUAUUUGAGAACCCCACUGACCCAUUUGAUCGGUAGAAAACUCUCUCGGUCUCUUAGAUGAGG
rnacentral:lncRNA from 1 species